rnacentral:RNase_P_RNA from 2 species
GGUGUUCCCGGUGUCUCGCUCAAUGCGGUGCCGCGAUCACAGACAGGCAGAGGGGAGGGUCUGAGAUGCCGCUUUCUGACCGAGAGGUCACAUGCCACGAGGUGUGGGUCGCCAACCAGAAAAAUGAGCAGAUGUGGGAACAAGUGCACCCCGCAGCUUUGCGGAUGAGUGCCGUGUUUCCGCGUCUGAUUGAAAGAGGCUGACUGGCACGGGCGCCAGGAUUGGCAGGAGCUUUUCUGCUCUCGGAUCCUGUCGUUUAAGGCUUGAGUUCAAUUUUCGAGACGUCUGCUUUUGCACCCUCAGUGCAAUCGCACACGAACUUGAUUCAGACUACUCCUGCC